AUUAUUGUGUAUUUAUUACAGCUACUGCAACUGUAGCAUCAUCAUCAUCAUCAAAUGGAGCUAUCUCAUGGAUUGGUGGAAUAUUUAUUGGUAUCAUUAUCAGUGCAGUGUUUGUUAUUAUCUUAUUAUUGAUUAUCAAAAUUGUCAUUACAAGAAGAAGUAAAGACAAACAAUUUGAACCCAACAAAAGGUCAUCAUUACAAAGUGAUAAUGUAAAUGUCACAUCCACUGUUUAUCAUCAGUCAAGAGGUCAGACUCAGAAUAUUGGGAUUUAUUCUGAUCUGUCGCAAAAUCAAUUUGAGCCAUUUUCCAAUGGGAGGGACCCUGCAGUUCCUGGUGCUAAUGAUUAUGAGAGUCCUGUUGAUGUGAAUAUAAUGACUAUUAAUAAUGAUCCAGUUUAUUCACUGGCUGAAACUGAGGAAGAAACUGGUAACUAUGACAAGUUGCAAAGGAAUUAACUUCGUCGUGAAAAUAUUAAUAAUCAUUUUAUAUUUCAUCAACUAUUUUAUAAUUUUGUUGCUAUUAUAAUGCAUAGCUAAUACAAAUGGUAUAAAUUAAGUUUGUGUUGCACCCAUGAAAGUUCUUGGUCUGGUUACAAAUUAA
rnacentral:lncRNA from 1 species